GACGAACGCUGGCGGCGUGCUUAACACAUGCAAGUCGAACGGAAAGGCCCUGCUUUUGUGGGUUGCUCGAGUGGCGAACGGGUGAGUAACACGUGAGUAACCUGCCCUUGACUUUGGGAUAACUUCAGGAAACUGGGGCUAAUACCGGAUAGGAGCUCCUGCUGCAUGGUGGGGGUUGGAAAGUUUCGGCGGUUGGGGAUGGACUCGCGGCUUAUCAGCUUGUUGGUGGGGUAGUGGCUUACCAAGGCUUUGACGGGUAGCCGGCCUGAGAGGGUGACCGGCCACAUUGGGACUGAGAUACGGACCAGACUCCUACGGGAGGCAGUAGUGGAGAAUAUUGCACAAUGGGCGGAAGCCUGAUGCAGCAACGCCGCGUGCGGGAUGACGGCCUUCGGGUUGUAAACCGCUUUCGCCGGUGACGAAGCGUGAGUGACGGUAAUGGGUAAAGAAGCACCGGCUAACUACGUG
rnacentral:rRNA from 1 species